AUGAGCUAUCUAGGUAUCUCUCCUUGCCUAAAGAGGAAUCAAUACCAAGGAGUUGAGAGCAAUCAGUUACUUCAAACACUGCUGACAGGUCAAGUAAGAUGAAGACUAAGAAUUGACCCUGGGAUUUAGUUAUGGGGAGUUCACUGAUCACCUAGACAAAGCCAGUAUGAAUGGGGUGGUGGAGGAAAUGUCUAAGUGGGAUGAAAUUAAGAGAGGUUGGAGAGGAGGAAUUAGAAAUAAGUGAGUAUGAGGAGCUCUUCCAAAGAGCUUUGCUGUCAAAGGCAGAGAAAAAAAUGGGAUGAGAGCUAGAAGGGGAAGUGGGAUCAAGAAUAGAUUUCUUCUUAAUACAGAAAUUAUGACUAUCUGUCUGCCCCCUUACAGGAAUGAUUUAGGAGAGAGCAAAACUUGAUAGUAGGAGAGAAGAGAGACAGCAGUGUCCUGAGGGAGACGACAUGGAAUCUUGUGCACAAGAAACGAGUCUAGCUUUAGUAGGAGUGGGACAAUUGCUCCAUCGUGACUGGUGUACAUGGACAGAUGCUGGAAGGUGGGUAGAUGUAGUGGCAGUGAUGGCGGCAGUUCCAUUUCUACCAAAGAUGGAGCAGUCAAGUUUCCUGUCUCACAGAAUGAAGGCUAUAGCUGAACCCAGGGGGAAAAAGAAGGUAAUCUUCCUUUGUUAAACAUGGCCCUGGAAUCAUCUCAGGGCAGAUACAACAGAUCUUAGGAAACAUUUUGUGAGCCCAUCUGGCACCUCUGACACUGGAUCAAGAUUCUCUGAGCUUGAGGGAUGGGGGUAGAGGAGAAAAAAGAUGAGAAGGCACAGAGGAGCUAUAAAGUGAGAACUUGGCGGUACCAGAAUCUGAACAGCCAACUUGGAAGGUCAUCCCAGAAUGAGUGGAGUCAGCAUUUGAGGACUGCCUGCCUGGUCUCCACUCCUGCCAGGGCUGCCCUUUCAGCCAGCCUGGCAGCACUGACCACCCAGCAGGUGUUCUGCAUCCCUGUGUCCUAAUCUCCCUCUAUGUGGGCAACUCCCCUUUUAAAAGCUCCAGACACUGGUAAGCACUCCCACUGCUCUAGCAAAACAUGGGGCCCCAGAAAUCAAGGGAUUAGGGGAGUCUUCGGGAAGAAAACCUUAUGCUAUUAUUCUGCUGGGAUAGAGUGGAACCAGUUCAAGAUCAACACCAACUUGCCUGCUGCCCCAGGAUAGGACAGUAAUAAUCUACACCCUCUCUAGAAUCUUUCCUCCCCUUUCAUUUUCGGUAACUUUGCCUUGAACAGUUGGGUUGUUGAGCCACAGCUGAGCACCAGAAAGGACUUUAAGGAACAGAAUUUCCCACUUUUUCGAUUCCUUUAAAAACAAGGGAAUCUUCUGUGACAGCUGCUGUCCCAAAGUCCUUGGUCCUAUGUUCCUUCCCAAGUCUUGGUCUCACUGUGCUGUUUUCCAUGUCCUGAGAAUCUUUUAUUCUAGUGCUAGGAAGCUUGGUUUCUUUAAGCUGUUGCUUCAACAUUUCUCUCUGGGUAUAAAUUUGGUUUUGUGUCUGGGAGCCCUGUUUUAAAAAAAAAAUGUCAUUUGGUAAGCCAAAGCUGUUAAAUAAAUGACAUUACAACUGGCUGUCGGUAAUAAAGUAAAUAGUAAAAAGAUAGCAUGGCUGGCUGCUCCGUCAGAUCUCAGACAACCUAGGACUGGACUUUUGUACUUUCUGCUGAGAAACGUGUGUGUGGUGACAGGGAGUUUGAUGCUUUAACAGAAUGACAGGCUUAUGCACAAAGACACUGACUUUCUGAAGCAUUGUGACAGCUUCUCCUCUCACUUUACUUACCCUGCAAUGGAAUGAGGUGGGCAGGCCGGUAUUUGACAGAAGUCCAGCGUAGGGCAGUUAAAAACGCGCUCCCCAGGUCACACACAAGGACAGUCCUCAGGGUGAGGCCCGUUUCUGGACAUUGUGCCGCCCUGUGCUCCGGUAUCUGGACACGCCUCUCUUCUAACAUGCUUUGUGUCCAUGGAGGAGCCGCGCAGCCCAGAUGAGAGUGACGCGCACCCACUCCAAGUCCUCGCCCGGGAACGCUUCAUCCCAGCUCCGCGGAAUGCUGGUCGGGUCUCGAACCGGCCGCUCUGAACUCCCGCUUCCCCUCGCGGCGGCCGCCCGGGUCCCAGGGGCUGCG